rnacentral:lncRNA from 1 species
CUUAAACCUUUAAAGAAUUCCUGAUUAACUGAAGAACUGAGAAAGAUCUUGUUAGCAUGUCACACAAGGCCCUUUAUUUGCUGGCUCCCACUGCCUAGAGACCCAGUGUAGGAAAGCAACUAAGGUAGCUGAGAGCCUCUCAGUAGGCAUGGUUACAAGUACUGCCCAGUCAGAGGCUUUGCACAGAGGUCUAACAUGGUGGUCCUUAGAGACUCCAGGAUAUCUAGUCUUUUGAGACCUUUGAGAAGGCAAAGAGUCAGCAGGAUCAGCAAAAGCUGUACUUGCUUAGCCUAACAUAUUCCUUGAGUUGACAGAAUUGACUAAAUGUU